AGAGACAUCCUUGCAUCAGCAUCCUGUGGCAGCGGUAUUGUGGAUAGCAUUGAAAAAAAUAACUGCAUUUCACUUAAAGAAAGACAAGCCAUGGUUCGUAUCUUGGUCUCCCAUCUAAUUGAGUGCUAUGGAGAAAAUCCAAGUGCAGCAACAAAAGUCAUUUUUCCAACAAUUUCCAUGCCUUAAGGAUUGCCAGGGUAAAGGAUAUGAAGCAUGGUUCAGUCCAGGUAGAUUUCACAGACCUGCCACAGGCUUCCUGGAGGAGCGUCUUUGAAACGUGCGCAAAAAGAUCCGAAGAGGAAGACAAAAAACUAUUUCUUCAGAAAUCCCAACAUACAGCAGCAGUUUUACUUUGUCAGAGUCAAAUUUGGACUCAGAAAGAGCGACUCAAAUGACAGAGUGGCUAAAAAAUAAUAUCUGGCCAGCCAGUCAGGUUGAGCAUUACAUGAAAGAGACCGUGAUCCAAAGGGCAAAGUGGAUUCGUGACCAUGGAUCCAAGACCAUAAUGGAAAUAGUCAAAGAGUAUCCACGUCUCCUUGACACUCUGGGCAUGAUAUCCCAGGAUUUUUUAAUUUGGAAUCCAGACUGUGCUUCAAAACUCACAGAAAAUUGGGUACCUUUGUUUAAGGAUAAGAUUCUACAGUUUGCCAGCAAAGAGAAACAAGCUCUUGAACUACUUCAAAACAUUGAAAUGAUGUCAGCAGGUAAUGGGUA